rfam:Hordeum vulgare subsp. vulgare, WGS project CAJW01000000 data, contig: morex_contig_1778328
UUUAUACUCCCUCCUGUCCGGAAAUACUUGUCGGGGGAAUGGAUGUAUCUAGAUGCAUUUUAGUUCUAGAUACAUCCAUUUUUAUUUAUUUUUGCGACAAGUAAGUCCGGAAGGAGGGAGUAUGCA